rnacentral:tRNA from 3 species
GGAGAGGUGGCUGAGCGGUCUAAAGCGCUCGCCUGCUAAGCGAGUGGGGGAUGAAAAUCCCCUCGAGGGUUCAAAUCCCUCCCUCUCCGCCA